CCUACGGGAGGCAGCAGUGAGGAAUAUUGGUCAAUGGGCGAGAGCCUGAACCAGCCAAGUCGCGUGAGGGAUGAAGGACCUAUGGUUUGUAAACUUCUUUUGUAGGGGAGUAAAGUCAGGAUGGUGUUCCUCAUUGUAUUUACCGUAUGAACAAGCAUCGGCUAACUCCGUUCCAGCAGCCGCGGGAAUACGGAGGAUGGGAGGGUUAACCGGAUUUGUUGGGGUUAAAGGGUGCGUAGGUGGGUAGUUAAGUCAAGGGGGAAAGUUUGUGGCCCAAACAUACAAUUGCCGUUGAAACUGGUUAACUUGAGUGUGUGAGAGGUAUGCGGAAUGCGUGGUGUAGCGGUGAAAUGCAUAGAUAUCACGCAGAACUCCGAUUGCGAAGGCAGCUUACU
rnacentral:rRNA from 1 species